rnacentral:rRNA from 1 species
UACAGAGGGUGCGAGCGUUAAUCGGAAUUACUGGGCGUAAAGCGUGCGUAGACGGUUAUUUAAGUCGGGUGUGAAAGCCCCGGGCUCAACCUGGGAAUUGCAUUCGAGACUGAAUAGCUAGGGUACGGUAGAGGGAAGCGGAAUUUCCGGUGUAGCGGUGAAAUGCGUAGAUAUCGGAAGGAACACCAGUGGCGAAGGCGACUACCUGGCCUGUUCUUGACGCUGAGGCGCGAAAGCUAGGGGAGCAAACGGG